rnacentral:misc_RNA from 1 species
CAGUGUUCGCUGCCCUCACGGGUAGCAAACCUCACCCUUGUGUAUUAUAUCUUUGUUGCUUUGGCACGCCGCCUUCGGGUACCGGCUUCGGCUGGCUCGCGCGUGUCAGAGAACCUAAAACUCUUGUUUAAUCAUAUUGUCUGAGUACUAUAUAAUAGUUA